GGGCGAGUAGCCGAAUUGGUAUAGGCGCUAGGCCUAGGACCUAGUGGUCGAAAGGCCGUGGAGGUUCGAGUCCUCUCUCGCCCA
rnacentral:tRNA from 1 species